CCGUGUUUUCCGUGCAAGUGCGACAUACUGUGAUUCAGACACAUUGUUAUGUGUUAUUCAGAUGCUGUACUUUAUUCAAUUAAUGUUGACAAGAAGCCAACUGCAGCUGCGAAAGAAGAGGAAUAUAAAUUUUCAACAUGGGAUGGCAGCAGCAAAGUAGAUUAAACAACGGUACCAGGACUGCCCUGCUGUCUCAUUGGGUGCUGGAGACUGUUGCUGCAGUAGGCUUUCCACAGGAGGCUGGAUCCCGACAGGGAGAGUUCACUGUGUUCCGGUCUCGUCGUCCUCCCGUCUGCAAUCCAGGAUAAAAUCCUGGAGCUGCGCUGUAAAACAAGGAAAAGAAAUUGAAUUACCGACGAGAAUUUUUAACACACUGCAACAACAGCUUACGCAUUGUCCUAGAAAAACAUACAUAACAUGACAAAGAGCUAUCCUCUGGAACACACUGCAGGAAUGGACGACAUACUGCUGAAGAAAACAUUAAUCUAAUCGAAAACCUUAGCCAUCUGAAGAUGGUCACG